UUCCAGUUCAAUGGAAUGUUUGUUGUAGC
rnacentral:piRNA from 1 species